AGAGUUUGAUUAUGGCUCAGGAUGAACGCUGGCGGCGUGCCUAACACAUGCAAGUCGAGCGGAGAUAGUUGAAGCCUAGCGAUUCUAUCUUAGCGGCGGAUGGGUGAGUAACACGUGGGUAACCUGCCCUGUACUGGGGAAUAACAGGUUGGAAACGACUGUUAAUGCCGCAUACGCGCACGCUGCCGCAUGGUAGCGGGCGGAAAGAUUUAUCGGUACAGGAGUGGGCCCGCGCCGGAUUAACUAGUUGGCGGGGUAACGGCCCACCAAGGUGAUGAUCCGUAGCCGACCUGAGGAGGGUGACCGGCCACAUUGGGACUGAGACACCGGACCCAAACCUCCGUACGGGAGGCAGCAGGUGGGGGAUAUUGCACAAUGGGGGAAACCCUGAUGCCAGCGACGCCGCGUGAAGGAUGACGUAUUUCGGUAUGUAAACUUCUAUCAGCGAGGAAGAAGAUGACGGUACCCGACUAAGAAGCCCCGGCUAACUACGUGCCAGCCGCAGC
rnacentral:rRNA from 1 species